ACGAACCAAAUGCAGGGGAAGCGGCAAUCUCCCGAUCGAGAUCCGUGAACGGCUCCAAACUCCCGAACGGCAAUACACGAACUGCUGCUAACCGUCGAACAGCAAUAUUCACCAAGCGGCUUCCGUUCCAUCUAGCAGUCUCUAAACGUGAAGAAGAAAUCCCCCCAAUAACGAGACAGAAGCUCCGCAUUGAGGGUCAAACAGGAUCUGGC